rnacentral:rRNA from 1 species
AUUGAACGCUGGUGGCAUGCUUUACACAUGCAAGUCGAACGGCAGCACGGGGGCAACCCUGGUGGCGAGUGGCGAACGGGUGAGUAAUGCAUCGGAACGUGCCCUGUCGUGGGGGAUAACACAUCGAAAGAUGUGCUAAUACCGCAUACGACCUGAGGGUGAAAGCGGGGGACCGUAAGGCCUCGCGCGAUAGGAGCGGCCGGUGUCUGAUUAGCUAGUUGGUGGGGUAAAGGCCUACCAAGGCGACGACCAGUAGCGGGUCUGGGAGGACGACCAGCCACACUGGGACUGAGACACGGCCCAGACUCCUACGGGAGGCAGCGGUGGGGAAUUUUGGACAAUGGGGGCAACCCUGAUCCAGCCAUGCCGCGUGCGGGAAGAAGGCCUUCGGGUUGUAAACCGCUUUUGGCAGGAACGAAACGGUGCGGGCGAAUACCCUGUGCUAAUGACGGUACCUGCAGAAUAAGCACCGGCUAACUACGUGCCAGCAGCCGCGGUAAGAC